rnacentral:tRNA from 1 species
GCCUGGGUGGCUCAGUCGGUUGAGCAUCUGACUUCGGCUCAGGUCACGAUCUGGUGGUCCGUGAGUUCGAGCCCCGCGACAGGCU